rnacentral:rRNA from 1 species
CAAUAGCGUAUAUUUAAGUUGCUGCAGUUAAAAAGCUCGUAGUUGGAUUUCGGGUGGGAAUGGCCGGUCCGCCGUUUCGGUGUGCACUUGCUACGCCCACCUUGCUGCCGGGGACGUGCUCUUGAGUUCACGCUCGGGACACGGAGUCGGCGAGGUUACUUUGAGUAAAUUAGAGUGUUCAAAGCAGGCCUACGCUCUGAAUACAUUAGCAUGGAAUAACACGAUAGGACUCUGGCCUAUCUUGUUGGUCUGUAGGACCGGAGUAAUGAUUAAGAGGGACAGUCGGGGGCAUUCGUAUCUCAUUGUCAGAGGUGAAAUUCUUGGAUUUAUGAAAGACGAACUACUGCGAAAGCAUUUGCCAAGGAUGUUUUCAUUAA